rnacentral:rRNA from 1 species
UAACGACUCUCGGCAACGGAUAUCUCGGCUCUCGCAUCGAUGAAGAACGUAGCGAAAUGCGAUACUUGGUGUGAAUUGCAGAAUCCCGUGAACCAUCGAGUCUUUGAACGCAAGUUGCGCCCUAAGCCGUCAGGCCGAGGGCACGUCUGCCUGGGUGUCACG